GGCUUAGAGGAUCCACUGGUGGUUGGCAGAAAACUGAAAAAUAUAAUGCUGUAACAUGGUUUACCUGCAAUCUCAUUUGGUAAUCGCAGGGUGGCCUUGUGUUCGUGCGUCUAAGUGAUCCCUGAUUGCCUGGGAAAGCACUUAUUAUUUUAUACUAAUGUUACUGCACGGUGACCUGUACAUUAAGCAUUCAACAUCUUCACUCCAAGUCACACAUGGAUUUUAGCAUGGUGCCUCCUUGUCAGGAUGGCUUUCUGCUGGCCUUCGCAGGAAACUGCCUUCAACAGUGAUGGUGACAGACAAUGUCUUAACUAGAAGGACAAGUUAGCAAUUUGGCUGAAUGCAAAGUUCUUGUGGAUUUAUAGCAUUGACUUGACUGUGGGUUGUACAGUUGCUGAACUCCCAGCAGUGACAUUUUGCUUGUCGUUGUCUGGGUGUGAAGAAGCAAUGUUUUAUGAUUUUCCAUGAAUUGUCCCAAAGCAUAUAGCAGCAUGGUAGUGUGGGUCUCCUUCUAGUAAGCAAGUAUUAUAAAAUGCAUUGACGGAAGAAAAGUGAAGAACUACAGAUCACAAAGGUAAGCCAAGUGCUCAGUGCCCAAAGCUGAGAGCAAAUAGAAUUGGGAAAUGCAUCACUUGGAUACAUGAUCCAUGCAGAAUGUGUUGUGGACCUAGCUUUCUUACAGCUGCAUUCAUACCCUUCCUAUCCACUAUCUGAUGGACCACUAAAAACAGAGCCAUGCAGGCACCCCAGGUAUGGUGCUGAUGAGUGUUUUCCUUUGCUUGCAUUUGUACCAUACUUUACAGCUUGUCAGUUGGACAGUGGUAUUAUUCAUGUAUUCUUCCUUUUUCCAACAGUAAGUUUAAGAGGGAAAUCAGUGCCAUUAUAUCAAAUGAGCUCACCAGCCAGAACACAAAUGUGUGUGGCUACAGUAUGUAUCAUACAUCUUCAGUGUCUGCAUUUCUCAAGGCCACUCCAGAGACAAUGCCCCAGAAAGCAUGAAUGGGACGAGAGAAUCUAAGGAAUACUUUGAACCAAGUCCUGUCAACAGUUAAUCCUAUAUGCAUGAAAAUUCAGCAGUCAGUGUUUUCCAAGAAGACAACUCAUCACAUACUGUGGCUUCUGCAUUCAUGGCUGCCCCAGGGCUAAAUACAUUGUGAUCCCCAGCCAAGUCCGCAUUUGAACUCAAUCAAGCUGGCGUAGCAUCAUAUGAAGAAUGCCUUUUGGAUGCAUGGAAAAAUGAAAAGCUUGUGUAAAACUGUAAAGCAUCACCAGGCCAGCCUUCUGAAUUUGGAGCACUAUAUUUGUCUUUGGGUGACCAUCCUGAAGGGAUGCUGCUUGUAGUCAUAGCAGAACAGGGUUCAAGCACAGGCAUAUAAUGAAGAGUACUUAAUAAACAAGUCUAAAAAGCAGUCUGUGCAUGUUUGCAUUUAUUUGGGAUCAUUUUAAUUGGACACUGAGAAUAAAAGUAAUAGGAUAGGACUUGCUAGGUGCUAUAAACGAGGUGGGGGGACAGCACAGGGGAGGAUGCGCGCUCCCCUUCUCUCCUCCCAGAUUUCUGUGCCAAUGGUGGGAUGCGGGGCUGCAGCCCGGCCAAACCCAGCGCCUGGCAGCAGUGAGUGUGGCAGAGUUGUGUCCCCUAAGUAUCAGCAGUUACGCGUCGUCUAUACUAGGUGCAGUACUGCUUUUCCACGAACUAACCUUCAGUACUGCAUAGCCUGAUUUUUCAACUCUGUCACGGACCAUAGGUGACAGAGUGCAGUAAAAGUUUGCAGUAAAAAAUGGAUAGGGACUUUCUCUUCCUUUGACAAGCCCUGCUGCUUGAAUAUGUGCUGAAUAUCUUCCUAGAUCACAGGCAUGGCCAGGAAUUUGCAAAGGCCUCAGUAGCAGCAUGGCAACUAGAGUGAAUUCUAAAUAAGUGAUAUCAGGCAAGCCCCGUUGAUCAGACACUCCUGCACUCGCCGCAGCAUGAACAUCCCUGUGUUGUGACAUGAUGCUCAGAGAUCUCCGAGCUGGGGUUAGAGGGGGCUGCGUACCGACGGAAGCAUCACGCUGCACUUCAGGCUACUGUGACAGAUUAACUAUUUAACAAGUUUUAAUGUGGCGCAUUGAGUGGCUCGACCUCUCAGCAGGCAAAUAAAGCAGA